GGCCCGGUAGUGGAUGGUCCGCACCCACAUUCAAUCGCAGGAGUCAGUCCACAUUCGUGUGGGAGGCGCUCGUUCGAAUCGAGCCCGGGCCA